rnacentral:tRNA from 1 species
GGGAGUAUGAUGAAAUUGGAAAACAUUUCGGUUUUAAAAAUCGAUGCUUUGUUGGUUUAUCCCGGCUUGUGGGUUCAAAUCCCACUGCUCCCA